rnacentral:rRNA from 1 species
AGCGAACGCUGGCGGCAGGCCUAACACAUGCAAGUCGAGCGCCCGUGGCAACACGGGAGCGGCAGACGGGUGAGUAACACGUGGGAACGUGCCCUUCGGUUCGGAAUAACUCAGGGAAACUUGGAUUAAUACCGGAUACGUCCGCAAGGAGAAAGAUUUAUCGCCGAAGGAGCGGCCCGCGUCCGAUUAGCUAGUUGGUGGGGUAAUGGCCCACCAAGGCGACGAUCGGUAGCUGGUCUGAGAGGAUGAUCAGCCACACUGGGACUGAGACACGGCCCAGACUCCUACGGGAGGCAGCAGUGGGGAAUAUUGGACAAUGGGCGCAAGCCUGAUCCAGCCAUGCCGCGUGAGUGAUGAAGGCCCUAGGGUUGUAAAGCUCUUUCGGCGGGGAAGAUAAUGACGGUACCCGCAGAAGAAGCCCCGGUCAACUUCGUGCCAGCCGCCGCAGUAACAC